CCUACGGGUGGCAGCAGUGGGGAAUAUUGCACAAUGGGGGAAACCCUGAUGCAGCCAUGCCGCGUGUAUGAAGAAGGCCUUCGGGUUGUAAAGUACUUUCAGUAGGGAGGAAGGCAGUGUCGUUAAUAGCGGCAUUGUUUGACGUUACCUACAGAAGAAGCACCGGCUAACUCCGUGCCAGCAGCCGCGGUAAUACGGAGGGUGCGAGCGUUAAUCGGAAUUACUGGGCGUAAAGCGCAUGCAGGCGGUCUGUUAAGCAAGAUGUGAAAGCCCGGGGCUCAACCUCGGAACAGCAUUUUGAACUGGCAGACUAGAGUCUUGUAGAGGGGGGUAGAAUUUCAGGUGUAGCGGUGAAAUGCGUAGAGAUCUGAAGGAAUACCGGUGGCGAAGGCGGCCCCCUGGACAAAGACUGACGCUCAGAUGCGAAAGCGUGGGGAGCAAACAGGAUUAGAUACCCGGGUAGUC
rnacentral:rRNA from 1 species